rnacentral:tRNA from 4 species
GCUUUUGGGCCCAUACCCCAACAAUGUCGGUUAAAAUCCCUCCUUUACUA